AAGAGAUUAGUUUAAAAAAAACAUUAGCCUGUCAGACUAAAGACAUUAACUUAAAUAUCUCUUA
rnacentral:tRNA from 1 species